rnacentral:rRNA from 1 species
GGGUUGCUUAACACAUGCAAGUCGAACGGCAGCACGAGAGAGCUUGCUCUCUUGGUGGCGAGUGGCGGACGGGUGAGUAACGCGUAGGAAUCUGCCUAGUAGUGGGGGACAACUCGGGGAAACUCGAGCUAAUACCGCAUACGCCCUACGGGGGAAAGCGGGGGAUCUUCGGACCUCGCGCUAUUAGAUGAGCCCGCGUUGGAUUAGCUUGUUGGUGAGGUAAUGGCUCACCAAGGCGACGAUCCAUAGCUGGUCUGAGAGGACGAUCAGCCACACUGGGACUGAGACACGGCCCAGACUCCUACGGGAGGCAGCAGUGGGGAAUAUUGGACAAUGGGCGAAAGCCUGAUCCAGCAAUACCGCGUGUGUGAAGAAGGCCUGCGGGUUGUAAAGCACUUUCAAUUGGGAAGAAAAGCUUAGGGUUAAUAACUCUGAGUCUUGACGUUACCUUUAGAAGAAGCACCGGCUAACUCCGUGCCAGCAGCCGCGGUAAUACGGAGGGUGCAAGCGUUAAUCGGAAUUACUGGGCGUAAAGCGCGCGUAGGUGGUUUUGUAAGUCAGAUGUGAAAGCCCUGGGCUCAACCUGGGAAUUGCAUUUGAUACUGCAUGACUAGAGUAUAGUAGAGGGAAGCGGAAUUCCGGGUGUAGCGGUGAAAUGCGUAGAUAUCCGGAGGAACAUCAGUGGCGAAGGCGGCUUCCUGGACUAAUACUGACACUGAGGUGCGAAAGCGUGGGUAGCAAACAGGAUUAGAUACCCUGGUAGUCCACGCCGUANACGAUGUCAACUAGCCGUUGGACUCAUUAUAAGGGUUUAGUGGCGAAGCUAACGCGAUAAGUUGACCGCCUGGGGAGUACGGCCGCAAGGUUA